GAAAUGUGAUAAGUAAUGUGAAUCGCAGAAUUCAGUGAAUCAUCGAAUCUUUGAACGCACCUUGCGCUCCUUGGUAUUCCUUGGAGCAUGCCUGUUUGAGUAUCAUGAAAUCUUCAAAGUAAAUCUUUUGUUAACUCAAUUGGUUUCUACUUUGGUAUUGGAGGUCUUUGCAGCUUCACACCUGCUCCUCUUUGUUCAUUAGCUGGAUCUCAGUGUUAUGCUUGGUUCCACUCGGCGUGAUAAGUUAUCUAUCGCUGAGGACACUGUAAAAGGUGGCCAAGGUAAAUGCAGAUGAACCGCUUCUAAUAGUCCAUUGACUUGGACAAUACUUUUAUGAUCUGAUCUCAAAUCAGGUAGGACUACCCGCUGAACUUAAGC
rnacentral:misc_RNA from 1 species